GGCUGGUCUGAAGGUAGUCAGUUAUCUUAAUUGACUGUUCACAGUCAGUUACAAAUUGAAUUCCUUGUUCUAUUCUUUCCCCACUUCUUAAUAGGGCACUUGAUUAGUCUUUA
rnacentral:Y_RNA from 1 species